ensembl:lncRNA
CCCUCAGCCAUCCGAGACUCCCCCUAAACUGAACAAAAAUAUAAACACAACAUUCAACAAUUUCAAAGAUUUUACAGAGUUACAGUUCAUGUAAGGAAAUCAGUCAAUUGAAAUAAAUUCAUUAGGCCCGAAUCCAGUUGCGUAAAGUACUUAAAUAACUUUAAAGUACUACUUAAGUACAGAUACCCCAAAAAACUACUUUUCUUUACUAUUUAUAUCUUUGCCUACUUUUACUUCACUACAUAUCUAAAGACAAUAAUGUACUUUUUACUCCAUACAUUUUCCCUGACAUCCAAAAUUACAUUUUGACUUGAAAAUGGUCCAAUUCACACACUUAUCAAGAGAACAUCCCUACUGCCUUUGAUCUGGCAGACAAAUUAUGCCUGAGUGUUGGUGUGCCCCUGGCUAUCAGUAAAUACAUUUUUUUUUAAACAAUAAAAUUGAGCUUUCUGGUUUACAUAAUAUAAGGGAAGUUGACAUUAUUAAUACUUUUACUUUUUAUACUUAAGUAUAUUUAAAACCAAAUACUUUUACUCCGGUAGUAUUUUACUGGGUGACUUUUACCUUAAUAGUAUAGGACUCAAGUAUCUUUACCUUUACUCAAGUAUGACAAUUGAGUACUUUUUCCGCCACUGCCCUAAUCUAUGAAUUUCACAUGACUGGGAAUACAGACAUGUAACUGUUGGUCAGUAUCUGGUGUGACCACCAUUAGCCUCAUGCAACGUAACACAUCUCCUUCACAUAGUGUUGAUUGUGGAAUGUUUUUGAGAUACUUGAGAUAUCUGUGGCAUUGUGUUGUGUGACAACUGCCCAUUUUAGAGCAACCUUUUAUUGUCCACAGCACAAGGUGCACCUGUGUAAUGAUCAUGCUGUUUAAUUAGCUUCUUGAUAUGCCACACCUAUCAGGUGGAUGGAUUAUUUUGGCAAAGCAGAAAUGCUCACACUCAGGGAUGUAAACAAAUUUGUGCAUCAAAUUUGAGCAAGAUAAGCUUUUUGUGAGUAUGGAACAUUUCUGGGAUCUUUUAUUUCAGCUCAUGAAACAUGGGACCAACACUUUGCAUGUUGCAUUUUAUUUUUUGUUCAGUGUAAAUGCCUCAUGUAAUAUUGUUUAAAGGUGCACUAUGCAGAAAUCACUCCGCCAUUUCCUGGUUGCUAAAAUUCUAAUAUUUCGCUUCAUUUCAGUUUGUGUCAAAACCAGUAAGUAUAGUUUAGUGAAUUAUUGUACCAUCUAAACCGCCGUAAAAUAUAUUUUCCAUAACCAAAAAGAUUGUAUUUUCAGCUGUUUGAAGCUAGUGUCCAAAACCGAAAGUAGUGUCCAAAACCGUAGCUGGGUCUUUCAGCAUGACAAUGAUCCCAAACACACCCAGGCAAUGAAGGAGUGGCUUCGUAAGAAGCAUUUCAAGGUCCUGGGGUGGCCUAGCCAGUCUCCAGAUCUCAACCCCAUAGAAAAUCUUUUGAGGGAGUUGAAAGUCUGUGUUGCCCAGCAACAGCCCCAAAACAUCACUGCUCUAGAGGAGAUCUGCAUGGAGGAAUGGGCCAAUAUACCAGCAACAGUGUGUGAAAACCUUGUGAAGACUUACAGAAAACGUUUGACCUCUGUCAUUUCCAACAAAGGGUAUAUAACAAAGUAUUGAGAAACUUUUGUUAUUAACCAAAUACUUAUUUUCCACCAUAAUUUGCAAAUAAAUUCAUAAAAAAUCCUACAAUGUGAUUUUCCGGAUUUUUUUCUCAUUUUGUCUGUCAUAGUUGAAGUGUACCUAUGAUGAAAAUUACAGGCCUCUCAUCUUUUUAAGUGGGAGAACUUGCACAAUUGGUGGCUGACUAAAUACUUUUGCCCCACUGUAUGUGGAUACCUGCUCGUCGAACAUCUCAUUCCAAAAUCAUGAGCAUUAAUAUGGAGUUGGUCCCCUCUUUGCUGCUAUAUCAGCCUCCACUCUUCUGGGAAGGCUUUCCACUAGAUGUUGGAACAUUGCUGCGGGGCCUUGCUUCCAUUCAGCCACAAGCAUUGAGGUCGGGCACUGAUGUUGGGCGAUUAGGCCAGGCUCGCAGUCUGCAUUCCAAUUCAUCUCAAAGGUAUUUGAUGGGGUUGAGGUCAGGGCUCUGUGCAGGCCAGUCAAGUUCUUCCACACAACUGUUGCCACAAAGUUGGAACCACAGAAUCAUCUAGAAUGUCAUUGUAUGCUGUAGCGUUAAGAUUUUCCUUCACUGGAACUAAUGGGCCUAGCCCGAACCAUAAAAAAACAGCCACCAAACUUUACAGUUCGCACUAUGUAUUGAGCCAGGUAGUGUUGUCCUGGCAUCCGCCAAACCCAGAUUUUUAUCCGUCGGACUACCAGAUUGUGAAGCGUGAUUCAUUACUCCAGAGAACGUAUUUCCAAAGUCCAAUGGUGGCAAGCUUUACACCACUCCAGCAAAAGCUUGGCAUUGCGCAUGGUAAUCUUAGGUUUGUGUGCGGCUGCUCGGCCAUAGAAAUCCAUUUCAUGAAGCUCCCGACGAACAGUUAUUGUGCUGACGUUGCUUCCAGAGGCAGUUUUGAACUUGGUAGUGAGUGUUGCAACCAAGGACAGACUAUUUUUACGCGCUAUGCGCUUCAGCACUCGGUGGCAUCCUAUGACGGUGCCACGUUGAAAGUCUAUGCAUAGUCACUUUAAUUACUCUACCUACAUGUACAUAUUACCUUAAUACCGGUGCCCAUGUACAUUGACUCUGUACCGGUUUGUACCCAUUGUACAUAGUCUUGCUUUUAUUAUUUACUGCUGCUCUUAAAUUACUAGUUCUUCUUAUCUCUUACUUUUUGGUGGGUAUUUUCUUAACUGCAUUGUGACAAAAUUUGUUUUGAGCUCUUCAGUAAGGCCAGGAGAAUGAAUGGCUGUGUUCCCGAUUGUAUAGCCCUGUCAGCAAUGGGUGUUUCUGAAAUAGCCGAAUCCACUAAUUUGAAGGGGUGUCCACAUACUUUUGUAUAUAUAGUGUAGAAGGGCAUAGUACAGAACAUUAUAAGGUCAACCUCAAGAAAAAACUUUUAAAGUUAUAUGGACUCAUCUGCAGAAGCACACUCUGGAGAGGACAUAUCUACUGCUGUGGUGGUCAAGACACUCAGGGGUAUGCUCUUGUACUGUACAGCGCUAUCAGAGGCUGUGUGUGUGUGUGUGUGUGGAACAUAGUUGCAUCUAUUUGGAGAGUUUGCCCCAAGAAAGUCUGAGUUAUGGAAUAGAUUUGUGAGUACCUCACAGGUAAAAACAAUACAUUUUGGAAUUGACCUCUUAGCGGGAAUUUCUCAUCCCACUAUUAAAUAGAAAAACAAGUGGAUAUUGUUCCUUUUGAGAAGUUGAAAACUUUGGUGAAAUCUCUUACGUGCAGUAUACUGUAUCUCCUUUCAAAUGGCUUAAAACAGCCUGAGGCAAGAGUUUGUGGACGGGAUCCUUUUCAAUGGGACAAUGUGUAAACAUCUCCACCUGGUCCAGUCCAGAUGCUGUGGUGCCAGUACGAGCCACUACCCAUGUACCUGGUUCUGUAGUCCUGGCAAACUCCUGCAUUACCUAUGGACCCUGAGGAAUAGCGAUUCAGAGUCCUUGGAUCCACUCCAGCACUUUUCAGAGAGAUCAGUGUUUUCGGUGGCAAAGAAGAUGGCAGCAGGCCAACAUGACAAGCUGGCCAAUCAGGGGACAGCUGAUGUCCCUCUCAAAUGGCAGGUUCCAGAGAGGAUGAAGCAUCCAACUAGACAGGAGUGAUGUGUGAGCGUUGGGACUUAAUCAGUGUUUGGG